rnacentral:rRNA from 1 species
CUACGGGUCGCACCAGUGAGGAAUAUUGCACAAUGGGGGGAACCCUGAUGCAGCAACGCCGCGUGGAGGAUGACGCAUUUCGGUGUGUAAACUCCUUUUAUAUGUCAAGAAAAUGACGGUAGCAUAUGAAUAAGCACCGGCUAACUCCGUGCCAGCAGCCGCGGUAAUACGGAGGGUGCAAGCGUUACUCGGAAUCACUGGGCGUAAAGGACGCGUAGGCGGGUUGGAAAGUCAGGUGUGAAAUCCUACAGCUUAACUGUAGAACUGCACUUGAAACUUCUAAGCUAGAGUAUGGGAGGGGGAGAUGGAAUUAGUGGUGUAGGGGUAACAUCCGUAGAUAUCACUAGGAAUACCUAAAGCGAAGGCGAUCUCCUGGAACAUUACUGACGCUAAGGCGUGAAAGCGUGGGGAGCAAACAGGAUUAGAUACCCUCGUAGUC